UGGAGACACGGCAUCCUCAUGAGUACCCGAAUUUAUUUGGCUUUUAAAAUGUCUUGUGUGUGCAAGAAGACAUAACAAACACAUCUUCUGGGAGUUGGUUCUUGUUCUCCCACUGCUCUGCGUUGAUACCACUGCUU